UCCAAUCCCACAAACACCCCCAUAUCCCAAAACCCCUAAUCUCAAAAACUCUAAUUCCACCACCAAAACUCCCCAAAUUAUUCUCAUUACCAGUUGCUUUAUUGUCACAAACUAAACCCUACUCUUCUCUCCAAUCCAUUUGCUGUACCAGAAUCUCCAGUCCUUCGACAGAAUCCAACGAAUCCUCUUCCUCUCCAACGUCUUCAAUUUUCAUCAAAGAACUUGCACAAUCAACAACAGAGGGAAGCUUGAGGAAGACCUUUUCCCAAUUUGGGGUAAUUAGCAAAGUCAAGAUUAUUACGGAGAAGGAAACUAGACGGUCUUUAGGUUAUGGAUAUGUUUGGUUUACUAAUGCUGAACAUGUACAAUUAGCCGUUGAAGAGAUGAAUGGAAAGGUAUGCAUUCCAAGAUUUACAAUUUGUUUUUUCGCCCCUAAGUAAGUGAAAAAACGCCUCUUUAUAACAUAUAGAGUUAGUUCAGUUCUUUGAUAGCAUAUUUAUUACGGUUAAAAUUGGAAAACCUGGAUUGUCCAAAAGCUAGAGGAGGGUGACAGUGCCAUUCAAGUUGUUGAAAUAGAAGAAUUACGUCUUCAUCCUCCAUUCUCUUCAUAAUGCAGGGUGAUGUAUUGAGAGACACAACUUGAAUUCUGGUAUAAUCAAUGUUUUUAUUUUAAGUUUCGGUAUUACGCAAAGUUUGACAGCUUACAUUCUAGCAGAAAAAGAUAACACUAAUAAAGGAACAUCAAGAUUGAAAUUUU